ACCAGGAAGCAAGAUGGAGAAGGGGAAGGAGCCAAUAAAAGGUACCAAGCAGUAUAGAACCAUAGAUAACUGGGACUCGAUUCCACUGGAGGCCUCUGGAAGACACUGUAGAACAUGCCUUGCAAAGGUGAGGGAGCUGGAGGAUUUUUCUGCAAACAUCCAUCAGGACACUUGCUCUUGGAAUCCAGCUGCCAUGCUGUGAGGAAUCCCAAUCAGCUGUGUGAACAGGUCAAGUGUGGAUGUAGCAGUCGGCAACACCAGCUGAGGUCCCUGCAAGCAUAAGCAUCAAUGGCCAGAUGAGCAAGUCAGACUUCAGGUGAUUCCACACACCAGCCCCGGAGUCACUUCCGGCUUUCCUAGUGAGGCUCUCUCUGGACAUUAUGGUGGGGAGACAAGCUGACCCCUCUGGACCACCCUUCAUGACCCGCAGAAUCAUGAGCACAAUGGUCGCUGUUUGAUGCCAUAACUUUGAGGUGGUUUUUUAAACUGUAAUAGCAAUAAGAAUAAAGGCCCUCUCUUCCA